ACAUGCCUACAACAUAGUGUUAAUGCAUCAGAUCCCAUUAUAAAUCCACAAUUAAGCACACUCUUUCUAGAGUAGUACUGGGAUGGGUGACCUCCCAGGAAGUCCUAGUGUUUUACAUGCC
rnacentral:rRNA from 1 species